rnacentral:rRNA from 1 species
AGUGAACGCUGGCGGCAGGCCUAACACAUGCAAGUCGAGCGGCAGCGCGUCCGACCACCCUCGGGUGGUCGGAUGGCGGCGAGCGGCGGACGGGUGAGGAAUGCAUCGGAAUCUGCCUCGUUGUGGGGGAUAACGUAGGGAAACUUACGCUAAUACCGCAUACGACCUACGGGUGAAAGUGGGGGACCUUCGGGCCUCACGCGAUGAGAUGAGCCGAUGCCGGAUUAGCUAGUUGGCGGGGUAAAGGCCCACCAAGGCGACGAUCCGUAGCUGGUCUGAGAGGAUGAUCAGCCACACUGGAACUGAGACACGGUCCAGACUCCUACGGGAGGCAGCAGUGGGGGAAUAUUGGACAAUGGGGGCAACCCUGAUCCAGCCAUGCCGCGUGUGUGAAGAAGGCCUCGG